UAGGGAAUCUUCCGCAAUGGGCGAAAGCUUGACGGAGCAACGCCGCGUGAGUGAUGAAGGUCUUCGGAUCGUAAAACUCUGUUAUUAGGGAAGAACAAAUGUGUAAGUAACUAUGCACGUCUUGACGGUACCUAAUCAGAAAGCCACGGCUAACUACGUGCCAGCAGCCGCGGUAAUACGUAGGUGGCAAGCGUUAUCCGGAAUUAUUGGGCGUAAAGCGCGCGUAGGCGGUUUUUUAAGUCUGAUGUGAAAGCCCACGGCUCAACCGUGGAGGGUCAUUGGAAACUGGAAAACUUGAGUGCAGAAGAGGAAAGUGGAAUUCCAUGUGUAGCAGUGAAAUGCGCAGAGAUAUGGAGGAACACCAGUGGCGAAGGUGACUUUCUGGUCUGUAACUGACGCUGAUGUGCGAAAGCGUGGGGAUCAAACAGG
rnacentral:rRNA from 1 species